CGGAGGGUGCAAGCGUUAUCCGGAUUCACUGGGUUUAAAGGGUGCGUAGGCGGGUUGGUAAGUCCGUGGUGAAAUCUCCAAGCUUAACUUGGAAACUGCCGUGGAUACUAUCAAUCUUGAAUAUCGUGGAGGUAAGCGGAAUAUGUCAUGUAGCGGUGAAAUGCUUAGAUAUGACAUAGAACACCAAUUGCGUAGGCAGCUUACUACACGAUCAUUGACGCUGAGGCACGAAAGCGUGGGGAGCAAACAGGAUUAGAUACCCUGGUAGUCCACGCCCUAAACGAUGGAUACUCGACAUCAGCGAUACACUGUUGGUGUCUGAGCGAAAGCAUUAAGUAUCCCACCUGGGAAGUACGAUCGCAAGAUUG
rnacentral:rRNA from 1 species